rnacentral:lncRNA from 1 species
GAGGAAGGGAAAUUGCAGAAGCGAUGAGCAUCAACUCUCGAGAGAAUAUCGGAGAGUAACUUCAGAGUCUUUUGGCGGAUCAAGUCAUCGUCUGGAAUUGAGGGGUUCUCCAGGAGGAAUUACUUACGAGAACCUAGAGUUAGAGUUAGUAAAAUCUUUAACCCGAAAGAGAAGAGAGAGUAGAGCCCAGAGUAUAGGAAAGGAAUAAAAGAUACUAAUACCACCCAAUUGAGAUGUGGGCCCGUAAGCCAUAGCAUCAGUAUUAGUAAGUUUUUCAAACACUAGACUCAACUUCGGCCAAGGAGUUGGAAAGGGGCUACCUACAGGCAGUCGACUCUGAUACCAACUUGUGACGCCCUCGAUUUAAUCAUAUGCUAAUCAUACACGCAAAUGCGUACGAUCAAACUCAAGGACUCACGAGAAGAUAUCACAACACAACUCUAGACACAAAUAAAACAAUAUUAGCUUCAUAUUACAAGCCAGGGGCCUCGAGGGCUAGAAAACUGAAGCUCUAUAAACACACGAGUCAGCGGAAGCAAAAAUAUCUGAGUACAGACAUUAAACAUGGCGUUCCUUAGAGAAGGCUAGCACAAAAGAAACACGAUCGAACAAGGCGAGGCCUCCUGCCUGGGAACCUCCUAACUACUCCUGGUCUUCAGCGGCCUCCGCGAAGAAGUCACCAUCAGGAUGGCAGACAUCGUCGGUGGGAUACUUCAUCUCCUGGGCUCCAUCAUCUGGUCGCAACAACGGAUCAAGGGGGCAAAGGGGGAGCAAAGCAAAGGUGAGUACUAAUCCAAAGUACUCACGAUACUUACAUCAGAACUAUGCUAAGUAUGCAUCAGUAUCAAAGAAGGGGGGUUAUAUGUGGACUUACUGCAGCAAUGCGAGAAUAGAGAGAGAAGGCCUAGUCCCAUCGAAGACUAGCAUCUUCAGGGUCUUGCAGCAAUAGAAGAGAAUAGAACAAGAUAACACAAUUAAUAGUCAUAUUGUUGCAGCAAUAUUAAUAUGAGGUCACGCCCAGAGAUCCUCCCUCGACUCCCUGCAAGGAAGCAAUCUCGGGGGAACAGAUCCAGUUAAGUAACAGUUGUAGUUGUAUAAGAUGAGGGCACAACUCCAAGUCGUCCUGUAACCGUGGACACAGCUAUUCGAAUAGAUAGGUUCUUCCCUGCAUGGGUGCACAACAUAUUCCCCGACUCGCUCGAUAACACUCUGGCCUAACACACUUUUCUGGGUCAUGCCUGGCCUCGGAAUAUCGACACGUCCCAGCCCCACCUAAGCUCAGCAGAGAGGCCAGCCCGCCGGUCUAACUCCUAAGCACAAAGGGGUCGUGGGCCCACUUGCCCUCCGUGCUCCUGCACGAUGCGAGGGUGGCCGAUGUCAGUCCUAGCACCCCUUAAUACAAGAGCAAUGCAUCUGGGACCACUCGGGCGCGCGCCGCUACAUCGCUGACAUCUGAACAGCUUCGGUUGAUACCGCGACGUCGAGUACCCAUAAUUCUUCCCACGCAGACGGUUAGUGCGAAAUAAGGCCUUCCGACCAACCCAGAUCAAAUACCGAAAUCGACACAAACACGCGGGAAUCCACCCGCCUAACAUCUAUUCAUCAAAGAUCCCAGUAACAUGGUCAAGUAACUAUGUGGUAGAAACAUCAGGGGGAAUCCGAGGUAUCACCCUCGUUGGAUCCCGAAUGAUGUAACCGUCAAGGUGAACCUAGAGGAAUCACCCUCGAGGGUCCCACACUUGAGGGGUUGCACGACAGAGGCAUCGUCGAGAAUGGUGAAAGAGGAAUCACCCUCGAUAACCAUGACCGACUAGCUCUACUACAGAGAUAUCAUCAGGAGUACUUCGCGAGGUGUCACCCUCGGUACUCGAUAGUAUCUCUGUAGCACCGCACAACUAAGGGGGUGUAAGUGUUGUGUUGGGUCUGGCUCGUCGAUCAGGGAUCGAGACUUGAAAACAAAGCGGGGCAACUGGACUACGGGGUCAGAGGGGAUGACUGCUCCACCUAUACUAAACAGUUUAAAGGUACAGUACUGAAAGUAGCAGUUCAUCAAAAAUAGGCUAUGCAUCAGAUGUAGGAGCUAACUACAAAAGUAGCAAAAUUCUAUUGCAAGAAUGAGGAAGAAAGAAUAGGCGAUAUAGGGAUGAUCAAGGGGGUUUUCUUGCCUUGUUGCUCUGCGGCAAAGGGAUGAUCGGCGGGAGGGUAGGUGCACCCAGCAGCAGCGUCAGUCUCAGGGUCUACCGGUAAGAAGAGGGGGGGAACAAUAAAUAAAAGCAACAGGUGCAACACUAAUCAUGACAUGACAAUACGCAGGCUAGGCAUGAUCUAACGCAGUAACAUCCGCCAUAGACGGGUCGGGAAAAUAUCAGAUGAUAUUUCCCGGGUCAUUGGCUACUACCGGACAGACUAAAAACGAUGGAAAAGUUCCACGUUUGCGAUGCUAGGGUCGCGCGACACACGAAUGGACCGCGUACCCGGUUCGUCUCGUUGUGCUGAUCAACUUUCUUGUUGAAAAUAUUUUGAUUUGACUUCGAUUUAUUUUAUAUUAAUUUAAAGUUUUAUUAAUUAUUUAGGAAUUAAAAACAGAUUAACUUAAUUAUUUAAAUACUAUUAUGACAUCAGUAUGAUGUCAUGCUGACAUCAGCAGUUGACUGGUCAACUCACCAGUGGGUCCUUCAUGUCAUUGAUACAGUUUAUUAAUUAAGGUUCAAUAUUAGUUAAUCAAAUUAAUUUAAUGGGGGACCCACGUGUCAUACUCUAAUAGAAUAAUUUAAUUAUCCUAAUUAACAGAUUAUCUAAUUAAUCUAUUUACUUAAUUAACUAAUUAAUUGAAUAAUAUAUCUAACUAUUUAUUUAUUNNNNNNNNNNNNNNNNNNNNNNNNNNNNNNNNNNNNNNNNNNNNNNNNNNNNNNNNNNNNNNNNNNNNNNNNNNNNNNNNNNNNNNNNNNNNNNNNNNNNNNNNNNNNNNNNNNNNNNNNNNAUAAGAGACAGUGCUAACUCUGUGUGCUAACUCUAUCUCUCUCAAGAGAGAGAGAGAGGAGGAGGCAACCUCCACCUCCACCUACAGGAGCUCAACGGCGUCGGAACACGGUGGUGUUUGCCGGAACGGAACCCGGGCGGGGAAAGGAAGGAAGGGGUGGCGGGAGGAUCCCGAAUGGAGGGCUCACCGGCGUUGCCGGGGAUGAGGGCGGCAAGGCUCGGGGUCGGCCAUUGUGGAGGAUGACGAGGAGGCCGGUGGCGCGGUUCCGGCGAGGAGGAGCCGUUAAGGAGGAGCGUCGGAGAGCAUCNAGCGGCGCCGGAGUGGCACGAGGAGAGGAGCCGAGGGGUGGUGGCGCUGGGAUCCGGGGAGAGGGCGACCGGGAGAGGAGGGGUGCGGCGAGGUGGCGCCGAGCGGAAGGCGUCGGCCGGCGGGGUAGGAGCGACGGUGAGACGAGGGAAGGGAGGGAGCGACGGGAGGGGAGGGAACCAGGGGGUUCCCUCGUGAGGGUCAGUGGGAGCGACGGGUGGGAGGAACAAACGCGAUUGGUAGGGGUGACGAGGGUCUCGGGAUCCCACGAGGGGAGAGAUGGGGCCCUGGGGCGUUCCC